UGAGGAUCAAUAAAUGACUAAAAAAUCCUGUCUUUCAGUCGACCAUCUGUGCAGGGAGAGAACCACAGUGGGGUGCAGCAAUGUGUGCAGAAAGUCAGAGAGAGAAGGAGCGGUGAGAACACUGAACUCGAGAACAGCGCUGGCCUUUAGACAACAGCAUUCCGUGUCGACAGCACCCACGGGGGAUAUGCUGACUGCCUGCUCCUCACAAGAUUAUGACAAAUCAUAGCAGUUUAAAUUCACAGACUUUCUUCUUCCCUACACUUUCCUGCUUCUCUAAACUCAAAAAUACAAUAUAUGAGUUCAACAGCAGACUAGAGGAAGCAGAAGAAAAGAUCCAUGAACUCAAAGACAGGACACGGGAACCCAUCCAUCCAGAGCAGCAAAAAGAAAAGAAGAAUGAAACAGAGUGAAGAUAGCUUAAGGAACUUACAGGACAACAUCAAGCAGAGCAAUAUUUGCAUUCUAGGGGUCUUAGAGGAGAAU
rnacentral:lncRNA from 1 species